CAUACAUCCAUGCUGAAAGACAUGUGCCACUUGGCCCAUCUGUAUUGGUAAAUGGUACUGUGCAGCUGUUAUAAGUACUAUCAUACCACCCUGGCAUUUGAUCAGUGUCAAGGUGAUAUGCUCUCGAACAGGCAAACUUCCAACUGAGCUUGCUUAUAGCAGUCUUCCAUCCCCAGACCUCUACAGUAAGAAAUGGCCUUUUAACUAGAGUGCAAGCAUCAGUCUAAUGAAUUUGAACACUGCGGUACAGAUAUGAGCAAUAAAAAAUGCCUAUUUAUCUCAAUUCACCACUGAGAUGAAAUGUCUCUUCAAGAGGGAAUACGCAAGACGUACAGUGCAUACCACUGGGGAGUUUUGUUAGCAUUUAAGAAGUUCAACGGCUGCGACAACAUGGCAUACGAUGUUUCAGACGGUGUUCGGUUGGAUGGUGAAACUGGGCAAGACCUGAACUUGAAAAGAGAUUGGUUCUUCAGGAUUAAGAACAAUGUGAAUCCAUUGAACAGUGGGAGGUUAGUCAGUUGGGUCAUGAUCGGAAAAGUUCCUCCGCAAAUGACAGAAAAUGAUCUCAAAACCAUCCUCAGGGGUGUUGCUCUGCCGGAUAAGAAAUC
rnacentral:sRNA from 1 species